rnacentral:lncRNA from 1 species
CUGCGAUGGUGCUGUGGGAUCUCACUAAUGUCAGGAUAUUCAUAGAUCUGGAGCAGGACGUCCAUCAGGAAUGUGUCUCUCUUUGACCAGCAGAUCGAUGACGUCAAUGAAAAGAAAAGUCAUUUCAGAGCUGGAACAAGUUCAUGCAUUCUGAUGAAAGAUUUCAAGACAAACACCGCUCUGUGACCAUAAAACUACAAGGAGAACAAGCAAAAGCUUUCCCUGAAAAUGUGAAGUUUAUUCCCCGGUGUGACCCUCAACCUGACACGUGUGGAAUAACAACAAAACUGCCUCGCAUGUGCAUGCAAAGGUGUCUCCCGCCUCCUUAGGAAGCACUUCUGCCAAGGUGCUCAUGUGAAAUGAAUGUUUAUCAGCAAGACUGUUUAAGCGAUGGUGACCAGUGAUUUCUACAGGAGAUGCACUGUUGGAUGCGAGCUUGGACCGAUGCCCGGACGCUCUUUACCACCCUGUAUGUGUGAUCGCAUUAGGAAACCGAAAACAAGACACUGAAAGCCCAUCAUGCAGUGCUCGCAGCAGCCAUCUAAGCUUGAUAAAGAAAUGCCGCCUGCUCGGGGUACCUGGUAAUGGGCAGUAAAGGCUGACUGGUCAGACAUCAUGUGAUGGCCUAUUAUUAAAUGUUUGCGUCAUGAAGAACUGUGAAUUGCUCUGUUGCAGUGGGUGGCUUUUUUAUGCUUUAGGUCCAUUGUAGCCCUUAAAGUCUGGACUGUUAAAAGAGCAUUUUGUCUUGAUAAGAGUGGGCUUUUUGUUAAAUUUAAUUUCAGUUCAAAGAAAAAAAAAAAACUGUGCUUUUGCUCUAUUUGGAGCUUGACAUACUGGCUAUCAUGAACUGUCAUUGCACGGAAAAGAACAGUGCAGAGAUCCUAAUGCCAUUUACACCAAGGACGAUAACUAUAAAGAUAAUGUUUUGAAGAAACUGUAUGUAGUUUUGUAUAGGCUAUUUUUCCAACUUUUAUUGCAGUUUAGUGAGUGGAAUUCACUGUCGUUAAUAUAUAACUGUCAUAAUUAUAGUGCAUAGCUGUACACGUGCAUUUGUUGCUGCUGUAAAGUGAUGGAAGCUUUUCGAAGCUCUGAAUCAAUUGAGUCAAUUGUUACGUAAAACGUUUCUAAGCAUUCAAAAGACCACAGGUCAAGAUCAAACAAGGUCAAGAAGCAAUUAUUGUUGUUAUUUUUGUAUUAUAUAUAUAUCAAAAUUAACCUAAAUAAUAAAAGCCAUCUAGCAGCGAAUCAGAAUUUUGAAAUGUUUUCAAACCCAGGUUCGACGUAACGAAGCCUCAUUUGCUGAAUUCACGUGACUUGGCGAGUUCGAUACAAGCUCUAAACCACUAAUUCGAAACAUAUGAUUCAUAAAUGUUUCGAAGCUUCACGAAGCAGUUUUGCGAAAGCACCGAUCAUUACCGCCCUUUUCGUGGAAUUUUAUACCCACGCACCAAACUUACUCUCAGAAAGGACUUUUGGAAAGAAAUAGAAGAUAUUCGCCGUAUUAGAAGUCAAUGUACCAUCAAAAUGAUUUUGAAACUGAUACAUUGACUUUAAAGAGCGCGCAAGAAUUCGAAAACCGCAGCGCGCACUUUGAAUAAAUAAAACGUUAUCGUCCCUCACAUAUCGUUAUCACAUUUCCGGGUUUCUCAGCAGCGGAAGUCGUCAUAGUUGGGUAAACUUUGAGAGCAGUGAAUGGGAGAGUACUACAAAUAUAUAUUUUUUUGCAUUCCCAUCAAGUGUUUUCACAAUUUUCAAUCAAAGGAAAAGGUUUGAGAGAGACUGAUAACGGCAGUCAGAAGAGGGAACGAUGUCAAUUUAUUUUUUGUAAUUUGAUGCAAAGGUGAUAUAAUACAAAGUAUAGUGUUAUAAAUGUACAUACAUUUAAAAAAAAAAUCUAAAUAUAAAAAACUUGAGGAUUUACGUUGCUGAUGGCCGUUGAAACGCGUCAUCACAGUCUUGUGAAAAGGGUCUGUUGUUGUUGUUUUUGUUUUUAAUAGAUAAUUAAAUUAUAUGUCUUUAUUUAAUUUCUGAACUAUUUCUCUGCAGAUCAGUAAUCUGACUAAUCACAAAUGAACGAUGCACAAAUUAAUCUUAGAGUUAGAAGAGCUUAAAGAUGCUCCAAUAAUUUGAGCACUAAAGCUGUGCUGCUAAUUUCCUUUUUAUUGGCACUCUGCAUUAAACUGUAGUGCUUAAUUACUCAUUUCUAGUAAUCGGCCUGAACCCGAGGCUGCUGACUUUAACAGUACAGUGCAAACAAUAAUUAGGUCAAUGGCACAUUAAUUUGGCCAGUGAGCAUUGAAAGGGAAGUCUCCUAAAUAUGUCCUCUGGCAGUGAGUCUAGUUCUCAGUGCAUUUUACAAAUGCAUGCAAGAAAUCAAUACUAUUAUUAAGAGAAACAAGAUAAAUGCUGUUGGAUUUAAGAGAGUUCAUAUUUAGGCUGAUAGCAACACAAAGAUAAAUGAAUAUGCACUUAAGAUACUUGCUACAGUUUUGCAUUUGUUUGUUUCUUGUGCUCAACAAAUUUCUUUUGAAAUUGUUUAGUUUUCAAUAAUAUGCAUAUAUUAAACAUGCUGCCAUUGUGUUAGUCAUUAAAUUCAUGCAGGCCCAU